CUGAGACCUCUACAAAAAACCGCAAGCAGACACUUGCUAGAUGCAGAUCGAUGCAGAUCGCCAAACUAAACUUCCUCCUACUUUGAAAGGAGGAAAUUCUUUGAAAGCCCAUCUGUUCAGCGCAUGUAAGUGACUUCCGAAAGACAGUUUGAAAUGCUUUCUGGACAGGAUCUCUUGUGCUGGUUUCCCAUUAAUUGAUAAGAGGAGGAGUAAGGAGAAAAGAAACCACCCAUGGAAAUUAUUUCCCUGAGAGAAGCCAAGAGCUUCCUCUGUGCCUGGAUAAAUCCAAUAGCUGGCUAGCUCUGAGAACUCACAACCUAUUAAACCAUUUAGAAGCAUUCCACCUCUGUGAAUUCCACAUUUUAAAAACAGACAAGCCCGGGAACUCUGUCUCUUGCUUCCAGCCUUGAAAGUUAAGUGAGCUCUGGUGCGGCCGGCCAUGCUCCGCCGCAGCCUGAGCGGCCUGGCGGGGCCGGGCCCCGGCACCGGCAGGGUGGGGACGGGAGACCGCGGGGCCCCGGCCAAAGCUGGGCCAGUUCACAGCUGCUAACAUCUUGCUCACACAGCCCUCUCCCCGUCAUCGGCCGCGCCGAGCUGGGCUCCACUGAGCCCCAGGAGCGGCUGCAGGCCGGGCCAGGCUCCCUCCCCUGCGGCGUCCCCACAGCGAGUGCCAGUCAGCGGGAGGGGCCCAGCGCAGCCUGAAGUCCGUCACCGUCACUGCUGCGGCCACUGGCCAUGACCAUCUGCAGGUCUGGACGAGAUACUAACCCUUUCACAGAUGAGACCUGCAGACCUUAAUCCUCUCCAGGGAGAGAAAAGAACAGAGUGACGUAGAAAACAAUAUGAAGACGCCAAGGUCAGUAAAGAAGGAGUCUAGUCCUAGGUGGAAGGAGAAUGAGGAGAUUCCCUAGUAUGGAGGCUGAAAGUUCUUUUGGCCCAUAUGGCAGGACUUGUGCCAUAUUAUGGAAACUGGGGGUUUACACAGGGGAAAAAAAUGCUGGAAGAGUGAAGCUCUUUUCCAGAUGAUAUUGUGACACACCUUCCAGGGUGAGGACUCUAGACAUGCUGGUGUCACUCAACCUGUGCUGUAACUGUGUUUGGCAUACAGUCUGAAGUAUACAUCAGCCAGCACCAUUCAGCCAUGUCUGCAAUCCCAAACCAAGGAAUGCAAAAAGAACAUGGACUGUUCUCCAAGUCGUAUCCAGAACAUAGGCACCUUUGGGUAAAGGGCUCUCACUGCAUUGAAAUGGAAAUUUUCCCAUUUAAAUUUAUGGGCAUCAUAUGGAUUUGAUGUGCUCCCUGUCAAAAUGUAUUCCAAAGACUUGCUCUAUGUCACUCAAAGAAGAAACUGCAUUUGCUGAAGUUAGCCUUUAAUAAAACACAUACUGUUUA